CAGCCGCCACGGUAAUACGUAGGUGGCAAGCGUUGUCCGGAAUUAUUGGGCGUAAAGGGCUCGCAGGCGGUUUCUUAAGUCUGAUGUGAAAGCCCCCGGCUCAACCGGGGAGGGUCAUUGGAAACUGGGAGACUUGAGUGCAGAAGAGGAGAGUGGAAUUCCACGUGUAGCGGUGAAAUGCGUAGAGAUGUGGAGGAACACCAGUGGCGAAGGCGACUCUCUGGUCUGUAACUGACGCUGAGGAGCGAAAGCGUGGGGAGCGAACAGGAUUAGAUACCCCAGUAGUCCCUGUCUCUUAUAC
rnacentral:rRNA from 1 species